UACAGAGGUCCCGAGCGUUGUUCGGAUUCACUGGGCGUAAAGGGUGCGUAGGUGGCUUGGUAAGUUUGAUGUGAAAGCUCAGGGCUCAACCCUGAAAUGGUAUUGAAUACUACUGAGCUGGAGGUUUGGAGGGGGGACUGGAAUUCUCGGUGUAGCAGUGAAAUGCGUAGAUAUCAAGAGGAACACCUGAGGCGAAGGCGGGUUGCUAGGCUGACACUGACGCUGAGUGCGCGAAAGCCAGGGGAGCAAACGGG
rnacentral:rRNA from 1 species